AAUUAAAAAUUUAAAUUGUUAAAAUUUAUAAUUUAUAAUCUCAAAAUUAAAGUUUAUAAUUUUAAAUUUUAAAUUUUAAAAUUAAAUUUUGAUAUUUUAAUUUUGAAAUUUAAAAUUUUAUAUUUUAUAUUUUUCAAAUUUAAAUUUGAUCUUAAAUUUAAAGUUUGAAAUUUAAAAUUUAAAAUUUUGAAUUUAAAAUUUAAAAUUUUGAAUUUAAAAUUUGAGAUUUUAAAUUUCAAAAUUUGAAAUUUCAAAGUUAAAAUUUUAAAUUUAAAAAUAUAUAUUUAAAAUUUUAAAAAUUUAAAUUCAAAUAUAAUAAAAGGAUAAUAUUAUUAUUUUUUAUUUAUAAAACCUAUUAUCUUUCUUAUUCCAUUUUACCUAACCAAAUGCUAUUUUUUUUAUUCUCAGGAAUAACCCAAUUUUCAUCCAAACGCAAAAUUGAUCUAAUCCCCGCUUAUACCUCAAUUUAUACCUAUUCCUGGAAUAGCCACUUUUUCCUUAUCCUCGAACCAAAAUAGUUUCGAAUAUCC
rnacentral:lncRNA from 1 species